rnacentral:rRNA from 1 species
AGCGGCGGACGGGUGAGUAACGCGUGGGUAACCUGCCUCAUACAGGGGGAUAACAGUUGGAAACGGCUGCUAAUACCGCAUAAGCGCACAGUACCGCAUGGUACGGUGUGAAAAACUCCGGUGAUAUGAGAUGGACCCGCGUCUGAUUAGGUAGUUGGUGGGGUAACGGCCUACCAAGCCGACGAUCAGUAGCCGACCUGAGAGGGUGACCGGCCACAUUGGGACUGAGACACGGCCCAA